rnacentral:rRNA from 1 species
AACGCGAAGAACCUUACCUACCCUUGACAUGUCCGGAACCCUGCUGAGAGGCGGGGGUGCUCGAAAGAGAGCCGGAACACAGGUGCUGCAUGGCUGUCGUCAGCUCGUGUCGUGAGAUGUUGGGUUAAGUCCCGCAACGAGCGCAACCCUUGUCAUUAGUUGCCAUCAUUUGGUUGGGCACUCUAAUGAGACUGCCGGUGACAAACCGGAGGAAGGUGGGGAUGACGUCAAGUCCUCAUGGCCCUUAUGGGUAGGGCUUCACACGUCAUACAAUGGUCGGUACAAAGGGUUGCCAACCCGCGAGGGGGAGCCAAUCCCGAAAAGCCGAUCGUAGUCCGGAUUGCAGUCUGCAACUCGACUGCAUGAAGUCGGAAUCGCUAGUAAUCGUGGAUCAGCAUGUCACGGUGAAUACGUUCCCGGGCCUUGUACACACCGUACGUC